rnacentral:rRNA from 1 species
UCCGGAGGGUGCAAGCGUUGUUCGGAAUUACUGGGCGUAAAGGGCGUGUAGGUGGUUGACUAAGUCAGGUGUGAAAGCCCUCAGCUCAACUGAGGAAGCGCAUCUGAAACUGGUUAACUUGAGUACGGGAGAGGAGAGUGGAAUUCCUGGUGUAGAGGUGAAAUUCGUAGAUAUCAGGAGGACCAUCGGUGGAGAAGGCGACUCUCUGGACCGAUACUGACACUGAGACGCGAAAGCGUGGGGAGCAAACAGG